GGUCCCGUAGCUCAGAUGGAUAGAGCGUUGGUCUCCUAAACCGAAGGUCGCGCGUUCGAAUCGCGCCGGGAUCACCA
rnacentral:tRNA from 1 species